CUUGCUUCCCCUUACGCCACGAUUAUAAGUUUCCUGAGGCCUUCCCAGCUUGCAGAACUGAAAAGAAGAGGAGGGCUCCUCUGAGACCUAAUAGGAUGCAUUUCCCAGCUGAGCCCAGUCCAAAGCCAUUUUCAAGGACAACCGGCCAUGGCCCCCACUGGCUCAGCGUUCUGCCUGAAGGAGAGCUGCCUUCAGCAGCACAUCUCAAUUGCCCACCUUUUGGAGGUGGACCAAGGAGUCUUGCCUGCAACCAAAUGAUAACCUCAAAGUGGACCAGGUGUUUUCUUUAACCUGUUUAUAACCUGAGGCGUAAAUGAUUGGCAGUGGAAGGUUAAGCCGUACCUCCUGUGAUGAAUUGGGGCAGGUUAAAUGGACUGAUCUGUUUCUGUUCAUCCAUAGUAACGUCAUGCAGCCUCCCAGCAACAUAUUUGAACAAGAGUUUUGUAAUCAUCACAUGUAAAAUCUUUCUGUUGGAAAAAGGCACCCAUAUACGUUGGUAGAAUAUAUUUGUUAAUUGCUAUUUGUUAGCUUCCUCUCUUCUUCAAAAUAGAGGGGAAAUUAUUACUUUGAUAAUGGGUAGAGGGGUUUCAGGCUUAAAAAGAAGAACUUUCCAAGGGUAUUAAGAAUAAAUACACCAGGGCAGGCCGGGCGCGGUGGCUCAAGCCUGUAAUCCCAGCACUUUGGGAGGCCGAGACGGGCGGAUCACGAGGUCAGGAGAU